rnacentral:rRNA from 1 species
GAUGAACGCUGGCGGCGUGCUUAACACAUGCAAGUCGAACGAAGCACUUUACCUGAUUUCCUUCGGGAAUGAUUGUUCUGUGACUGAGUGGCGGACGGGUGAGUAACGCGUGGAUAACCUGCCUCACACAGGGGGAUAACAGUUGGAAACGGCUGCUAAUACCGCAUAAGCGCACGGUACCGCAUGGUACAGUGUGAAAAACUCCGGUGGUGUGAGAUGGAUCCGCGUCUGAUUAGCUUGUUGGCGGGGUAACGGCCCACCAAGGCGACGAUCAGUAGCCGGCCUGAGAGGGCGACCGGCCACAUUGGGACUGAGACACGGCCCAGACUCCUACGGGAGGCAGCAGUGGGGAAUAUUGCACAAUGGGGGAAACCCUGAUGCAGCGACGCCGCGUGAGCGAUGAAGUAUUUCGGUAUGUAAAGCUCUAUCAGCAGGGAAGAUAAUGACGGUA